UGAAAUAAUGGUAAAACACAGUGGGC
rnacentral:sRNA from 1 species